CAUUCUGUCAAAAUCACAAACAGCGGAUUAGCGGUACCGCGAUUGGCGCAAUCUCUAUUUCUCUCAAUCGUGGUUCAAAGCUCUAAAAAUUGGAGCGUUAGAAGCAUAGAGAGUACGGACACGUUCAGUGUAAAAAAUAUCAGUAUUACGAAGGGUUCUGUUAACAAUAUGGAAGCAGAUGCAUUCAAGUAAAUAAGGUGAAUCAAUCACACUCUUAAUUAUGUCAAAGACAAAGGUGAGCAGGAGAAUUGUUCUUCUGAUGAAUGAUCGGAGCGCAAAGCGUAAAAACGUUUUUUGAACCCGCUCGAGCCUAUUAAUGUGGCACUCAUAAUAAGGUCUCCAAAUAAAGCAAGCAUAUUCCAGCUUGGAACGUACAAGCGACGUGAACAACAGCUUUAACUUAUAGGGAUCCCUGAAAUCAGAGCUAAAUGGGCGAAUAAAAGCACGCACUGAAUACGAUUUAGCAAUGUUGUAUGAAAUAAAAAUUUCGAGUCAAAGACUACACCUAAGUCAGUUAACUCAUUACGAGUGGAUAGUCGAGUACCAUCAAUAUAGUAAUGAAGUAAUAUUUCAGUCUAAAUGCAAACCUUUACUUAUUUUACUCCUUGCCUAUUAAAUUUGUUGUCUUGAAAAUUCAUAUUUUUUAUUAAAACUCUAUUAAGCUUUGUAACCCCCAAAUCGCAAAUGAUAAAUUUUGAGGUCUUAAUAUGUAAUGCUGACUUCAAUAUAAAGCCGCAAAUAUCAUAUCUUCAAAGAGGCGGUCUAAACUUCAUCGUAAGCGUGUAUCUAAAAGCGAACUAAGGACUAUUGAAAAAAGCGAAAUUCGGAAAAUGCCACUUAGGGCCAUUUGUGAUAAUGACGAUAAAAUGCACUUAUAUACAUAUGUAUAUACAUAUGUGUUGCAUAUUGCAUGUCCUUGCAUCUGAGCACGAGUUAAAAUUGCAUACGUAUGUAUUUAUGUACAGUGGUGUACAAAACAAAAGCAACGAAUUUAAUAAAUUCAUGUUAUUGCCAUAUUUCUUUCAAUAAAUACCCAGAAGUCAUCUUAAAUAAAUGUGUUUCAAUUGCCACUUCUUCGCGAAAACCUCUGAAUUAAAAAACUACACACGUUUUAUUCUUAAUAAUCUCUGUGAAUCUUAAGCGGUAUUGAAGAUAGUGAAUUCUCUUUUGUAUAUUAUAGAUAGUUUUCCCACUUGCUUAUUAAAGCUUCUCUUUGAGAUAACGAAAAGGUUGGAAAUAGUGUUUAGGUCCGGCGAAUUGGUAGGAUAUUCGAGAAGCAGAACUCUACUACCCAAAAGAUAGUUUUUAAUAAGCUUUGGUAGAAGGUCUUAAAUCGUUAAAAUGCUGAAAUUCCCACCGAAGCGUCAUAUUCCAGUCAACAUUUUGGAGAAUUUUCGUCUCUAAAAUAUGUUUAGAUAAAAAACGGUCCAUUAUACCAUAAAUCUUUUGAAAAGGGAGGACGAUCUUUGCAUAAAAACAGUUUUAUACCAUGUGUCCGCCGUUUGCCUGCUUAACACACAUCCUACAGGUAGGUGCACCAAGACGUUCACCUCUUCUGCGUCCAACCGUUCACAUCCCGUCCAAUAAAAGUGGUUGACAAAUCAUUUUUAGACUGAAUUUCGAUCUUGUGCGCCUAAUUGGAUCGUGGAGAAGUGGAACGUACUUUUCUUGAAGCUGAUGUAAAAUUCUAUAUGAUUAAUUCUGAAGGGAUGUAAACUACCCGCCGAAGUAGAGGUUAACGUCUUAGUCCAGCGAUCGCAGGAUGAGUGUUAAGCAGGGAAACGGCAGAAUUAUGGUAUAAGGCUGUUUUUCUAUCCUCCCUUCUCAAAAUCUUAAAGGAAUAAUGGACCAAUUCUUAUCUAAAAACAUUUUAGAGACGAAAUUUCUCCCCGAUGUUGAUUAGAAUAUGACGCUUCAUUGAUAGUUUAAGCAUUUUAUUGAUACAAAAGCAUACCAAAGCUUAUUAAAAACUAUCUCAGGAUAGUAGCGUUCAAAUUCUCGAGUAUCCUACAAAGUCGCCGAACUACAACCUCACUGUGAGCCUGUUCGGUAUCUCAAAGAGGAGAGUUUCAGGCCAACGCCCUUGCAAUAAGGAUAACUCUUCCAAGCUUUAAUAAGUGAGUGGGAAAACUAUCUACAAUAUACAAAAGAGAAUUCACUAUCCUCAAUACCUCUUAAGAUUCACGGAGGUUAUUAAGAAUAAAGGAUAUUCUAUAAGCUAUUGCUUUGUUGCUUUUGAGCCAACCGAGGAUGGACCAGUUUUUGUUCUAGAGGUUUUCGCGAAUAAGUGGCAAUUGAAACACAUUUGUUUAAACGGACUUCUGGGUAUUUAAGAAUUAAUAAUCAAAUUUUUGUAAAACUGUUUAUUGAAAGAAACACAGCAAUAACAUGAAUUUUACUAAAUUUAUUGCUUUUGUUUUCACAACACUGUACAUAGUAUCUGCAUUCAUAUGUAUAUAUA
rnacentral:lncRNA from 1 species